rfam:Acetothermia bacterium 64_32 S_OP1_64_33_17, whole genome shotgun sequence.
GUUUCAAUCCCUCGUAGGUAGGCUCCAAAC